rnacentral:rRNA from 1 species
CCUACGGGAGGCAGCAGUGGGGAAUUUUCCACAAUGGGCGAAAGCCUGACGGAGCAAUACCGCGUGAGGGAGGAAGGCUCUUGGGUUGUAAACCUCUUUUCUCAGGGAAGAAAAAAAUGACGGUACCUGAGGAAUAAGCAUCGGCUAACUCCGUGCCAGCAGCCGCGGUAAUACGGAGGAUGCAAGCGUUAUCCGGAAUGAUUGGGCGUAAAGCGUCCGCAGGUGGCUAUGUAAGUCUGCUGUUAAAGAGUCUAGCUCAACUAGAUAAAGGCAGUGGAAACUACAAGGCUAGAGUGCGUUCGGGGCAGAGGGAAUUCCUGGUGUAGCGGUGAAAUGCGUAGAGAUCAGGAAGAACACCGGUGGCGAAGGCGCUCUGCUAGGCCGCAACUGACACUGAGGGACGAAAGCUAGGGGAGCGAAUGGGAUUAGAUACCCCAGUAGUCCUAGCCGUAAACGAUGGAUACUAGGCGUGGCUUGUAUCGACCCGAGCCGUGCCGUAGCUAACGCGUUAAGUAUCCGCCUGGGGNGACGCGCGACGAGACACANANAUAGACGCGNGAGAGNGCGACGACGACGACGAGGAGAGG